AAUGAACGCUGGCGGCAUGCCUAACACAUGCAAGUCGAACGAGAUCUUCGGAUCUAGUGGCGCACGGGUGAGUAACGCGUGGGAACCUACCUUUUAGUACGGGACAACGUUUGGAAACGAACGCUAAUACCGUAUACGCCCUCCGGGGGAAAGGUCAGCCGCUAAAAGAGGGGCCCGCGUCUGAUUAGCUUGUUGGUAAGGUAAUGGCUUACCAAGGCGACGAUCAGUAGCUGGUCUGAGAGGAUGAUCAGCCACACUGGGACUGAGACACGGCCCAGACUCCUACGGGAGGCAGCAGUGGGGAAUAUUGGACAAUGGAGGCAACUCUGAUCCAGCAAUGCCGCGUGUGUGAUGAAGGCCCUAGGGUUGUAAAGCACUUUCAACGGUGAAGAUGAUGACGGUAGCCGUAGAAGAAGCCCCGGCUAACUUCGUG
rnacentral:rRNA from 1 species